AUGGUGUCCGUUCGGUCACCUAGCAAAGUUACCGAUCUUUGGUAGCUGGUCACCGGGUAGACAUUCAUUCAC
rnacentral:pre_miRNA from 1 species